UGGGCUGCUAAACUUGAUUUCUUAUUUGCCAUCCAAAUUUCCACCAUCAAGUACAUGGAAAAAUCUUAACUAAAAACAAAUCAAAAUAAAAGGUAUAUAAACAUCACUGUAGACCGAGCAAAUUCUACUUCCAACCAUCAGACCACUCAGCUUCAUCUGUAACAGGUUUUGGAAUUUCUGAUUGAAAGGACUCUUGACCCCAUCCAACCUCUUCAGAGGGCAGAGGGUUUUCUUCACUGUUGUCAUAGCUCACACAAUCCUCCUGUAUUUGACACUCAUCAACGAGAUCCUGUCUUUCUGGGAGACCACAACCCUGAUAGGAGUCAUGGUCUGCACAAUACCAUAAAAGCUUAUUCCAGUAUGGGUCCUUACUGAUAAUGUGUGGAUUGCCAAUAAUGAUAAGUAACGCUAUAGCUCGGGUAAUAGCCACAUUAAACCUUCUUGGAUUGCUAAGAAAACCCAAACAAUGGAGUCUGUCAAACUCAUUGUGUCUGACUGUUGAUCUAACAGUUGAUACAAUGAUAACUUUCCUUUCUUGUCCUUGAAAUUGUUCCACUGUGCCAACUUGGAUGUUUGGCAUAUCCAAAUCGUCCAAGGCCUUCUUUAGUUUGAGUACUUGCUGCCUGUAAGGUGUAAUAACCCCAAUAUCAGCCUCAUUCAGAUUUCCCAUAGCAGUUAGUUUGUUUAUGAGCUCUACCACCUUGCUUGCUUCAAUUCGGUUAAACCAUGAUGGAUUAUUGCCUUCCCUCUCAUCACAGCCUUGUAUACCAAAGAAGAGAACAGGAAAGUUCCUGCCUGGAAGAAGAUUUACCAAAGACAAUAAGGAAGUUGUAUCGUCUGUAGACUCUUUGCUUGCAAUUAAUUCCCCUCCAUAGAACAUAUCUGAUGGGAGAUUUAAAAUGUUUGGGUGACAUCGGUAGUUCCUAACCAGUUUUGUUACAUAAUUUUCAUCCCCAUUGCAGUAAGAUUCACAUUCAAAGAGCCUCUCCAAGUAUGAUUUUCCCAGGCCAUAAGCCUCAGCAUCUCUCGAGUAUAUUACAGGACCCAACUGCAUGGGGUCUCCAGCAAGAACAACAACUGUGUCCCUAUGGCAGAGGGUGGAUAUAGGGAUCAUGGUUUCUGGCUCAGAAGCUUGGCCAGCCUCAUCAAGGAAAAUAUGAGAGAAGUGACCUCGCUCAAUACCCUCUGUAUAAAGAAGACAGGCGCUCAUAUAUGUUGAUAUGAUGAUCCUAUAGCGAGUGAGAGCACUGAGUGGGGGACACUUGAAGAGACGAUCAUCGAAAAAACAAAAGCGAAUAUGAUCAGGCUUGACAUCUUCAAAUGAACGGGAAGUUGCAUUGAGCCUGAAUAUUUCAUUGUCUCGAAUAUUAACAGCAUUCUUACAAAGAAGCUUCUCCAGCAAGUGAUCUGCUGCACUAUUUGAUGGUGCACACACAAGAAUCCGGGCAUCCUUUCGGUUUUUAUAGAGCUGAAGGAUUGCUUCCACUAUUGUAAUAGUUUUACCUGUACCAGGAGGUCCAUAAAUGACAUAAGGUGGAGCUCCUUUACAGCCAAGGAUCAACUCUAUAGAACACAAUUGCUCUUCAUUAAGACUACAAGUUAUGGGCACCAGAGUAGUAGUUUCAAUAAGCCUAUUUCCAGAGCUCUCAGAUGGAAAGAGGAGCUCUGUCUCUAAAUUUUCAGCAGCAUCUACAGCCUGAUACUGUCUUCUCAUGUUGAGUCGAUUAUAUGUGAAGUGUACAUCAUACAGAUUCCCAUUUAAAUGGUGACUGUGAAAUGCAGCGGCAAACUUCAAAUAAACUUCAUCAGCCUCAACACGAUGAAUAAAGCCCUGAUACGGAGAGGUUGUUUCAUCAGCAUUAGCAAUCUUGGCAAAGAUGUAAUCUCCAUGGACAAGUGAAGGUCUCCGCUCAGCAAGCCCCGGGACCAUAAGGGACAAGAAGUUCCCCUUCUUCCUCAUCCCAACACCCUCCAUGUCAUAACUUCUCAUGUCUUCCUCCAUUUGUAUUUCUUCCAUCAUCAACAACAUUUUAAAGUAAUAAGCAUAAUUCUGUCUGGUUAGACUUCCAAUAAUAAGAUCAAUGUUCUGCUUGCUCUCAAUCAUUUCUCUAGUCUCCUUAGGAAUAUCAUAACGAGGAAGCCUUUUCUUUAUUGCCUUGCCCAUUGGCCUGAGAGGUCGUGAACCACCAACAAAAUUGUCCACAGUGAAUUGUUUCUUUCUUGUAGCUCUUGAAUAUGGCUUUCUCGAAGCCAAAGACCUGGAUAUGUUAUCUUCAGCCAAUAGAAAAACCACUCGCUCAAUCAUAUCAGUUCCCACAUCAAAAUGCACAAUUGAAGUGUACAAGCCAAUUUCCUUGGGUUUGCAAUUUAGCCAAACGGUUAAAGUAUCACCAGGUUGAAGCAUUCUG
rnacentral:misc_RNA from 1 species